rnacentral:rRNA from 1 species
UACGAAGGGGGCUAGUGUUGCUCGGAAUCACUGGGCGUAAAGGGUGCGUAGGCGGGUUUUUAAGUCAGAGGUGAAAUCCUGGAGCUCAACUCCAGAACUGCCUUUGAUACUGAAAGUCUUGAGUAUGGGAGAGGUGAGUGGAACUGCGAGUGUAGAGGUGAAAUUCGUAGAUAUUCGCAAGAACACCAGUGGCGAAGGCGGCUCAUUGGCCCAUAACUGACGCUGAGGCACGAAAGCGUGGGGAGCAAACAGG